GGGACGUUUGUUCUGCUGGGACUGAGCUGCACGUGUCGAGCUGUGCCUGGUGAUCCGUGGGGCCAGUGCAGGGUGAAGUGUAAGGACAAGUUUGGAGACGGGUCGUGUGACAGAGAAUGCAUGGAGCCCGAGUGUCUUCGAGAUGGUUUCGACUGCCUGAAGGACCGGGGCCAGUGCAAUCCGGGCCACACUGAGUACUGCCGGGCU